rnacentral:piRNA from 1 species
UUUUUUUUUUACUCUUGUUGCUAGGCUGAU